rnacentral:rRNA from 1 species
UACGAAAGGUGCAAGCGUUACUCGGAAUUACUGGGCGUAAAGCGCGCGUAGGCGGUCUUGUGUGUCGAUUGUGAAAGCCCUGGGCUCAACCUAGGAACCGCAGUUGAAACUGCAAGACUUGAAUACUGGAGAGGGUGGGGGAAUACCUAGUGGAGAAGUGAAAUUCGUAGAGAUUAGGUGGAACACCAGAGGCGAAGGCGCCUGCCUGGCCAAGUAUUGACGCUGAGGCGCGAAAGUGCGGGGAGCAAACAGG